CACAAAUACAGCUAUAUUAGGUGCACUGUAAUGAAAAGUGAGGAAAGGAGAGUAGAGGAGAAGGAGGAGAGAUAAAAUAUUUUAGAGAACAUUUAUAAAGAUUCCUUGUAAAGUUGAUAAACAAUCUUUGAAAGACACAGAAUCCAAAAUACAUAUGAAGAUUAUGUGGAUUACAAAAGAAAGCACUGCUCAACUUGACCCUAUCAGCUUUACCUGACUUCCUGGGAGGUACAGAACAAGGUACGUAUGGGGAUCCAGCAAUUCUGAAGACUACGC
rnacentral:lncRNA from 1 species